rnacentral:rRNA from 1 species
UCAGUGAUCAUCGAAUCUUUGAACGCACAUUGCGCCCGYYGUAUUCUGGCGGGCAUGCCUGUCCGAGCG